AGCAGCCCGAUGAGAGGCGAUGCCAGGCAGGCGACGGUCUGAGAGGAGAACUGAGGCGCGAGUGCAGCUGUGGUGGUACUGAAGAUUUAAUACAGACUUAUGGGGAAAUAAAACCAGACGUUGUAAAGUUUGAAUAGUGAAAAAGAAACAUCACACAAACAGGGUCAGGCACCAGAAUGGAUUUGUUCCAAGUAUUUUGCCCAGACUUCAAGGAUCAUGGAUGUACCCAGGUGGGCUGGCCAGGAUUUCUUAUUGUGGCUAUAGAGGGUGCAAAUCUUGACCUUAAUUUCCACCUUGAAAACACCAGCAAAUCUACAGUUGUUCAUUCUAGCGGUUUAAGUGUUAUUAAGGUUAUAUGGCUCAUCUCCUUGCCCCUUCCAGAUCAGAUUCACAACUUCACAGAAAUUCUCUGCACAACAGGCCUUUGAAGGAGUGUUAGAGACAGAAUCCACAUGUUAAUGCUCUCCUUCAAGGAGCUGCUGACUCUUCUGCAACCUCUGAGUUUCAGUAAUAUUUGUGAUGCAGGUUGGAUUGAGGAUUAUUUUGACCUAAAGACCAUGAAGGAAUAGAUUUUUUUUGUGCUAAGCCUGAAUGCUCUGACCUCAUCUGUUACUGCUUUUGUUUUUUUUCCAUAAUAUAAGCAUCAGUCUAACAUGCUCUUCUAAGUUACUGAGAGAAUGUUAAAAUCAUCACUGUUAAAAGGGAAAAUAACACUCUGCCCAAUCUUCAAUUAAUUUCUUAGAUAUUAAGAAUUUUAUUGCUUCCUGACUAUCAUUACAUUUCAAAGAAACUAAAUAGGAUUUACAAGUGAUCAUAUGAUACUGGCACAGGGAAACAAGAAUAAGCCCAAAAUUCUGUGUGAGAAAUCUCUGUUAGGAUACUUUACAUCAGGAUUUUUCUGAAGAUCAGAAAAGUGUUUCUGAGGUGAAUUGCCCUGCUUGCUCUCUCACUGCAGUUGUUGGCAUCAUGGAGGCACUUGGUGGUAUAAUGGAUCUGUUACUUGGCAUACAACUGAAGCUCCUUUUGGACGAGGACAGUGCAUCCUCAGCCAGCAUACCUCAGGCACCUUGGCUACUAAGAAGCAUCCAGUUCAUGGGACAAAAGUAGCUUUGGAGUUAACAGUGUCUGGAAAAUAUCAACAUCAGGACCUCAGUACCACCUGUUGAGCUCUGCUAACGCACUUCUGCUAUGCAGCAUGACCUGAUAGCUGUAAAAGCAGUGAACUGUCUCCCAGCAGUUGCUGUUAUACUUCCUGAAAAAUACACAUCUGAUUAAACUGCCAGCAGUGCUGC
rnacentral:lncRNA from 7 species